rnacentral:lncRNA from 10 species
GGUUGCUAUUGGUACCGCUAGCUAGAAUGGCUGCGGGGGCCGUACGCGGCUGCUCAUACCUUUAAUCCCAGCACUUUCGGAGGUUGAGGCGGGAAGAUCUGUUGCGUCCAGCUCAAGGCCAGCCUGGACAACAUAGACCACCCCUGUCUCUACAAAAAAAUAAAAAAGAAAUAAAAAAGAAAUUAGCCGGGCGUGGUGGCGCGCUCCAGUAGUCCUAGCUACUCCCAGCUACGCCGGAGGCUGAGGCGGAGAGGUCGCUUGAGCUCGGUAGGUCGAGGCUGCAGUGAGCCAUGAUCGCGCCACUGCACUCAGCCUGGGCGACAGAGUGAGACUCUGUCUCAAAGAAGGAAAAAAAAGAAUGACGGCGGGGGUGUUCUUUUCCCCCUCUGCGGGCCUUUAAGCUUCGCGGCGUUGUGUUGCUGUUCUGCUGCGAGCUGCGGUCUAACUAAUCGAGGCGCUUAGAACCCGGAGGGAGUUCGAAAAGCCGACUGAAGGUGAGGUGGGAGGGUAGAUGAGAAGAGGCUGCGGCGGCUGCGACCACGGUCUCAAUGCCGCUGAAUUCAUCUUUGUCCUGAGGCGCGGCUCUUGGAGAGCCUUGUGGGUGACUCCGAUGCGCCGCAGCACCCGCAUUUACUCUCCGCUUGGUAGAAGCAGCUGUGUCCUCACCCCUGCGGUCACCCAAGUUACCUGUCCCCUGGAGAACGGUGGCGCCCUGCUCGAGUUUCCCAAAACUCGCCUUUUGUGACUGUGUUAGCGUGAACUUGUGAGCCGAGUUUGCACUGAGAGCGCGAUAAACAGGUCUAAUUUUUUAAAAGUAUUUUUGCUGUUAACGUUGGAUCUUGGUAUAAAUGUCCAGAGACAGACCACUGAAGAUAUUAGGCGCUGAAAAUCCCCACCUAAUCAAUCAGACCAGUGGAUAAGCUAUAUGAGGGAAACCUCUUCCCCUCCUUAAUUAAGCCUCACCAAAAAACGCGUGCUGUACCAGGAAUCAUUUACAUAUAUUUAUUUAAUACUCACAAAAGUCCCAUGAGAUAGUAACCUUUUUAUUGUCCAUUUUACAUAUCUAGGCCUAUUGUCAGAGCUAGGACCAGAGCCCAGGUAACUUAGGUCUCUUCACAAUUAAAGUUGAUUCAGGCCGAAUGCGGUGACUCACGCCUGUAAUCCAAACAUUUUGGAAGUCCGAGGUGAGCGGAUCACCUGAAGUCAGGAGUUCGAGACCAGUCUGGUCAACAUGGUGAAACCCCACCUCUACUAAAAAUACAAAAAGUAGCCAGGUGUGGUGGCUCCUGCCUGCAAUCCCAACUACUUGGGAGGCUGAAGCAGGAGAAUCGCUUGAACCUGGGAGGCAAAGGUAGCAGUGAGCUGAGAUCGGGCCACUGCACUCCAGCCUGGGCGACAAAGCGAGACUCCCUCUCAAAAAAAGUAAUAAGGCCGGGCGCGGUGGCUCACGCCUGUAAUCCCAACACUUUGGGAGGCCGAGGCGGGAGGAUCACGAGGUCAAAAGAUCGAGACCAUCUUGGCCAACAUGGUGAAACCCUGUGUCUACUAAAAAUACAAAACUUAGCUGGGCUUGGUGGCGCGUGCCUGUAGUCCCAGCUACUUGGGAGGGUGAGGCAGGAGAAUCACUUGAACCCAGGAGGUGGAGGUUGCAGUGAGCAGAGAUCACGUCACUGCACUCCAGCCUGGUGACAGAGCGAGACUCUGUCUCAAAAAAUAGUAUAAUUACUAUUAUACUUUAAUUAUUAUUAUAUUAAUUAUUAUAAUUAAUAAUAAAAUAUAUUUUAAAAUAAUAAAAUAAAAAUAACAU